rnacentral:rRNA from 1 species
GUGUCAGCAGCCGCGGUAAUACGGAGGAUGCAAGCGUUAUCCGGAUUCAUUGGGUUUAAAGGGUGCGUAGGCGGAAUACUAAGUCAGCGAUGAAAUCCUGCAGCUUAACUGUAGAACUGUCAUUGAUACUGGUAUUCUUGAAUGCAGUUGAGGUAGGCGGAAUGUGUAAUGUAGCGGUGAAAUGCUUAGAUAUUACACAGAACACCGAUUGCGAAGGCAGCUUACUAAACUGUGAUUGACGCUGAGGCACGAAAGCGUGGGGAGCAAACAGGAUUAGAAACCCUAGUAGUCC